GACGGGGGGCCAACAGCGGCAGCGACUUGACGGUCUGCUCACGGAUGGCAGCGUUGGUGUCCAGGAAACCCCGAGCCACGUGGGGGAAGAUCUGAGAGCUCACCGUCGCCUCCGGAAGGAACUCAAUGUAGUCCUCCAGCUGCUGCAGCAGCCGCAUGCGCAGCGCUCGGUCUGGCGAGGCGAAGAGGCGGACGAUGACGGGGACGAUGCGGCGCUGAUACUCGGGGGGGUCCAACGCUUUGGCCACCUGGAGCAGCGGCGGCAGCGCGGCGGCGUCGGCACUGCCGAACUCGAGCGCCUGCAGCAGCCGCGGCAGCAGUUUGUGGUGGCGGAAGGCGGAGGGCAGCGAAGGCAGCAGGGCUGGGAGCUGCUGCAGGAAGGCGCGGCGCUGCGGGGGGUCCUGGACCUGCAGCUGCUCGAGGCCGCGCGCGGUGGUGGCGAUGGCGGAGCUGAGGAAGGCGCCGGGGCGGCCCCCCAACUCCAGCAGCUGUUCGGGGCUCGGCCGCGUGGAGGGGUCGGCGGCCACCAGCUGGGAGAAGGGGGCGAGCAGAG
rnacentral:lncRNA from 1 species